GCCCCCCAUUUCGCCCACCACAACUACAAACACCCUUCUAUCUAAAUCAAACCAUUUGCCAUGCAAAGUAUAUGCGAUAGAACAGCAUCUUGACGCGAUAGCACAUAGUACCACAUGGGACCACUGAAAGAUCAAUGAAAUAUACAAGCACAACAAAGCAGAGACAAACACUCGUACCUCUUGCAUCAUGAUUUAGCAAGCACCCCCAGAUAUAGCGCCCUUCAAUCUGCCGUCCCGAACCCAGACGAGCUACCCUGCGGCAAUUUAAUGAAUGCACCCAUCUCUGUAGCAAAAGCGUGGGAUGACCUCAGGGUAGUGGUGAAACGCCUAUCGAGCCUGGCGAUAGCUGGUUGCUCAUUAACUGAAUCUUAGUUCAACUAUGGGACAAGCUCCAUAAAUACCCAUAUCACAACGACUCACCCCAUAAGCUACACAAUAGAGGUACAGCUCUAUUGUAUCCGGAUAAAACCGAAAUUAGAGGAACCUUUUCCCCCCCUUUCCCCCCCGUAGGCCCUCAAGCAGCCACCAGAAAAAACCGCGUCACAGCAGACCUAUAAAAAUCCACUACUGAACCCGCCCCCCCUAUAACACAACUGAGCCACUCUAGCCCCUAGAAGAGAUUCUGCUAGAACUAGUAAUAAGGUUACACCUCUCAAGCACAACACUAAACCAAAACUAGAUAUACUGCUGGUAGUUAACAGACCCAAAGAAGGCAAAUUAAACCUCUUAACCUAUCUACCACAACUGUUACCCCAACACCGGUGUGCAUUAGAGACAGACUAACAACUAUAAAAGGAACUCGGCUAAAAUGUCCCAACUGUUUACCAAAAACAUAGCCUUUAGCCAAAUAAGUAUUAAAGGUGUCGCCUGCCCAGUGAACUAUUUAACGGCCGCGGUAUCCUAACCGUGCAAAGGUAGCAUAAUCAUUUGUCUCCUAAUUAGAGACUAGCAUGAACGGCUAAAUGAGGACAUAACUGUCUCCUAAAGUAAGUCAAUGAACCUGAUCCCUCAGUCCAAAAGCUGAGAUAAGACCAUAAGACGAGAAGACCCUGUGGAGCUUCAAACUAUAGUGCUACUUCACCACAUUAAACCAAAUAAAUACAACCUAGCACUCGUUUUUAGUUGGGGCGACUACGGAGCAAAAUAAAACCUCCAAGACGAGGAACCCCACCCCUCCACGGCCCACUAGCCAAGUAUAAGCCUGACCCAGCCAUGCUGAUCAACGAACCAAGUUACCCCAGGGAUAACAGCGCCAUCCUCUUAAAGAGCCCCUAUCGCCAAGAGGGUUUACGACCUCGAUGUUGGAUCAGGACCCCCCAGUGGCGCAGCCGCUACUAAAGGUUCGUUUGUUCAACGACCAAUGUCCUACGUGAUCUGAGUUCAGACCGGAGCAAUCCAGGUCGGUUUCUAUCUAUGAAAAAUCUUCUUCAGUACGAAAGGACCAAGAAGACAGUGCCAAUAGUUUAACCACGCACCGCAACAAAAACUGCAACAAACUCAAAUCUCUCUUUCUCUUUUUUCCCCCAGACAAGGGAACAU
rnacentral:rRNA from 1 species